CGAUGAUACGCGAGGAACCUUACCUGGGCUCGAACGUAAGAUGACUGUAGGUGAAAGCUUACAUCUCUUCGGAGCAUUUUACGAGGUGCUGCAUGGUUGUCGUCAGCUCGUGCCGUGAGGUGUCGGGUUAAGUCCCAUAACGAGCGCAACCCCUACCUUUAGUUGCCAUCAGGUUAAGCUGGGGACUCUAAAGGAACUGCCUACGCAAGUAGUGAGGAAGGCGGGGAUGACGUCAAAUCAGCAUGGCCCUUACGUCCAGGGCUACACACGUGCUACAAUGGCCGAUACAGAGGGCAGCUACCUGGUGACAGGAUGCAAAUCUCCAAAGUCGGUCUCAGUUCGGAUCGGAGUCUGCAACCCGACUCCGUGAAGUUGGAUUCGCUAGUAAUCGCGCAUCAGCCAUGGCGCGGUGAAUACGUUCCCGGGCCUU
rnacentral:rRNA from 1 species